AUGAAGGGAGGGGCUGAUAAAAUUUCCUGGACCCUCACUGCUGAUCAUAAGUUUUCUGUGGGGUCCUUGUAUAGGAAAAUCAUUACUAUAGGGGUGAAUUUCCCACAAAAAUACUUGUGGAAAGUUAAGGUACCAGCAAAGUUAAAAGUCUUUCUAUGGUUAGUCAAUAAAAAAAGGAUCUUAACUAGAGAUAAUCUAUUAAAAAGAGGAUGGAAGGGAGGGAAAGAUUGUGUUUUCUGUGGAAAAAAUGAAUCAAUUGACCAUCUCCUGUUCUCUUGUUCUGUGGCUUCUCUGUUAUGGAGUUUGGUUAGAUGUGUGUGUGGUUUAAAAACUGUCCCUCUAAAUGUAAAAGAUUGCUUUGGAGACUGGAUUAAAAAAUUCAACAAAGAUGAUAAGAAAAUGCUCAUGGUAGGGGUUUCUGCCCUGUUCUGGCCUAUUUGGAAAAGCAGAAAUGCGAUUAUAUUUGAGAAAAAAGGAUAA
rnacentral:rRNA from 1 species